UACGUAGGGUCCGAGCGUUGUCCAGAGUUACUGGGCGUAAAGCGCGCGCAGGCGGCGGUGCUGGCCCGGCGUGAAAGCCCCCGGCUCAACCGGGGAGGGUCGUCGGGGACCGCACCGCUUGAGGGCGGUAGGGGCUGGUGGAAUGCCUGGUGUAGUGGUGAAGUGCGUAGAGAUCAGGCGGAACACCCGUGGCGAAGGCGGCCAGCUGGGCCGUCCCUGACGCUGAGGCGCGAAGGCGUGGGGAGCGAACGGG
rnacentral:rRNA from 1 species